ACCGUACUCCUACGGGAGGCAGCAGUGAGGAAUAUUGGACAAUGGGUGCGAGCCUGAUCCAGCCAUCCCGCGUGAAGGACGACGGUUCUAUGGAUUGUAAACUUCUUUUAUACUGGGAUAAACCUACUCUCGUGAGGGUAGCUGAAGGUACAGUAUGAAUAAGCACCGGCUAACUCCGUGCCAGCAGCCGCGGUAAUACGGAGGGUGCAAGCGUUAUCCGGAUUUAUUGGGUUUAAAGGGUCCGUAGGCGGAUCUGUAAGUCAGUGGUGAAAUCUCACAGCUUAACUGUGAAACUGCCAUUGAUACUGCAGGUCUUGAGUAAAGUAGAAGUGGCUGGAAUAAGUAGUGUAGCGGUGAAAUGCAUAGAUAUUACUUAGAACACCAAUUGCGAAGGCAGGUCACUAUGUUUUAACUGACGCUGAUGGACGAAAGCGUGGGGAGCGAACAGGAUUAGAAACCCCUGUAGUCCUUGAC
rnacentral:rRNA from 1 species